rnacentral:pre_miRNA from 1 species
AGUGGGAUUGCUGGGUCAAAUGGUGAUCCAUUCCCAGUUUUCCAAGGAAUGUCCAUACUGCUUUCCAUAUUGGUUGCACCAAUUUGCAGUCCAACCAUCAAU